CUACGUGCCAGCAGCCGCGGUAAUACGGAAGGUCCAGGCGUUAUCCGGAUUUAUUGGGUUUAAAGGGAGCGUAGGCGGAUUGUUAAGUCAGCGGUUAAAGGGUGUGGCUCAACCAUGCAUUGCCGUUGAAACUGGCGAUCUUGAGUGCAGACAGGGAUGCCGGAAUUCGUGGUGUAGCGGUGAAAUGCUUAGAUAUCACGAAGAACUCCGAUCGCGAAGGCAGGUGUCCGGGCUGCAACUGACGCUGAGGCUCGAAAGUGUGGGUAUCAAACAGGAUUAGAUACCCUGGUAGUCCACACAGUAAACGAUGUAUACUCGCGGUUUGCGAUAGACAGUAAGCCGCCAAGCGAAAGCAUUAAGUAUACCACCUGGGGAGUACGCCGGCAACGGUGAAACUCAAAGGAAUUGACGGGGGCCCGCACAAGCGGAGGAACAUGUGGUUUAAUUCGAUGAUACGCGAGGAACCUUACCCGGGCUUGAACUAACGGUGACGAAUCUAGAGAUAG
rnacentral:rRNA from 1 species